rnacentral:hammerhead_ribozyme from 1 species
GGACUACUGAGUAGUCCCACAAUAGGACGAAACGACCGUUCAGUAC